AUUGAACGCUGGCGGCAGGCCUAACACAUGCAAGUCGAGCGGAUGAGUGGAGCUUGCUCCAUGAUUCAGCGGCGGACGGGUGAGUAAUGCCUAGGAAUCUGCCUGGUAGUGGGGGACAACGUUUCGAAAGGAACGCUAAAACCGCAUACGUCCUACGGGAGAAAGCAGGGGACCUUCGGGCCUUGCGCUAUCAGAUGAGCCUAGGUCGGAUUAGCUAGUAGGUGAGGUAAUGGCUCACCUAGGCGACGAUCCGUAACUGGUCUGAGAGGAUGAUCAGGCACACUGGAACUGAGACACGGUCCAGACUCCUACGGGAGGCAGCAGUGGGGAAUAUUGGACAAUGGGCGAAUGCCUGAUCCAGCCAUGCCGCGUGUGUGAAGAAGGUCUUCGGAUUGUAAAGCACUUUAAGUUGGGAGGAAGGGCAGUAAGUUAAUACCUUGCUGUUUUGACGUUACCAACAGAAUAAGCACCGGCUAACUCUGUGCCAGCCGCCGCCGUAAUAC
rnacentral:rRNA from 1 species